rnacentral:rRNA from 1 species
CCUACGGGAUGCAGCAGUGGGGAAUAUUGGGCAAUGGAGGAAACUCUGACGCAGCCACGCCGCGUGAAUGAUGAAGGUCUUCGGAUUGUAAAGUUCUUUCCUAAGGGACGAAGGAAGUGACGGUACCUUAGGAAUAAGCCUCGGCUAACUACGUGCCAGCAGCCGCGGUAAUACGUAGGAGGCGAGCGUUAUACGGAAUGACUGUGCGUGAAGGGUGCGUAGGCGGUUUGGCAAGUGAGUAGAGUAACUCCAAGGCUUAACCUUGGAACUACUACUAAUACUGUUGGACUUGAGUGCAGGAGGGGCGACCAGAAUUCCUAGUGUAGCGGUGGAAUGCGUAGAGAUGAGGAGGAACACCAGAGGCGAAGGCGGGUUGUUAGACUUGAAUUGACACUGAGGUACGAAAGCGUGGGGAGCAAACAGGAUUAGAUACCCCAGUAGUC